GUCAGUCAUCCUGGAUAGCUCAGUUGGUUAGAGCAUGGUUAUGAUAACCCCAAGGUUGCAGGUUUGAUCCCUGUAUGGGACA